rnacentral:rRNA from 1 species
CGUAGGGUGCAAGCGUUGUCCGGAAUUAUUGGGCGUAAAGAGCUCGUAGGCGGUUCGUCGCGUCGGCUGUGAAAUCCCGAGGCUCAACCUCGGGCCUGCAGUCGAUACGGGCGGACUUGAGUUCGGCAGGGGAGACUGGAAUUCCUGGUGUAGCGGUGAAAUGCGCAGAUAUCAGGAGGAACACCGGUGGCGAAGGCGGGUCUCUGGGCCGAAACUGACGCUGAGGAGCGAAAGCGUGGGGAGCGAACAGGAUU